CACGUAGGGGGCAAGCGUUGUCCGGAUUUACUGGGCGUAAAGGGCGCGUAGGCGGUCUUUUAAGUGUGGGGUGAAAUCUCUGGGCUCAACCCGGAAAUUGCCUUGCAGACUGGGAGACUAGAGGAAGGUAGAGGUGAGUAGAAUUCCCGGUGUAGCGGUGACAUGCACAGAUAUCGGGAGGAAUACCAAUGGCGAAGGCAGCUCACUGGACCUUUCCUGACGCUAAGGCGCGAAAGCGUGGGUAGCAAACAGGAUUAGAUACCCUGGUAGUCCACGCCCUAAACGAUGGAUGCUAGCCGUGGGGGGUAUCGACCCCCUCUGUGGCGCAGCUAACGCAUUAAGCAUCCCGCCUGGGGAGUACGGCCGCAAGGCUGAA
rnacentral:rRNA from 1 species